CCUGGUAAUUAUAUGCCGGGGGUUCCACCCGUUCCCAUCCCGAACACGGCCGUUAAGCCCCGAGCAGCCAAUGGUAGUGAGGCGUCAGGCCCUGCGAGAGUAGGUUGUUGCCAGGU
rnacentral:rRNA from 1 species